rnacentral:rRNA from 1 species
GACGAACGCUGGCGGCGUGCCUAAUACAUGCAAGUCGAGCGAACGGACGCGAAGCUUGCUUCUCUGAUGUUAGCGGCGGACGGGUGAGUAACACGUGGAUAACCUACCUAUCAGACUGGGAUAACUUCGGGAAACCGUAGCUAAUACCGGAUAAUAUUUUGAACCGCAUGGUUCAAAAGUGAAAGACGGCCUUGCUGUCUCUUAUAGAUUGAUCCGCGCUGCAUUAGCUAGUUGGUAAGGUAACGGCUUACCAAGGCAACGAUGCAUAGCCGACCUGAGAGGGUGAUCGGCCACACUGGAACUGAGACACGGUCCAGACUCCUACGGGAGGCAGCAGUAGGGAAUCUUCCGCAAUGGGCGAAAGCCUGACGGAGCAACGCCGCGUGAGUGAUGAAGGUCUUCGGAUCGUAAAACUCUGUUAUUAGGGAAGAACAUAUGUGGAAGUAACUGUGCACAUCUUGACGGUACCUAAUCAGAAAGCCACGGCUAACUACGUG